CAGAAAGUUAUGGGGUCAAUAUG
rnacentral:miRNA from 1 species